rnacentral:rRNA from 1 species
GGGGUCCUACGGGGGGCAGCAGUGGGGGAUAUUGCACAAUGGGGGGAACCCUGAUGCAGCGACGCCGCGUGGGUGAAGGAGUGCUUCGGCAUGUAAAGCCCUAUCGGCAGGGAAGAAGCAAGACGGUACCUGACUAAGAAGCCCCGGCUAACUACGUGCCAGCAGCCGCGGUAAUACGUAGGGGGCGAGCGUUAUCCGGAUUCACUGGGUGUAAAGGGAGCGUAGACGGCCAUGCAAGCCAGGGGUGAAAGCCCGGGGCCUAACCCCGGGACUGCCCUUGGGACUGCAUUGCUGGAGUGCGGGGG